rnacentral:rRNA from 1 species
CCUACGGGAGGCAGCAGUAGGGAAUCUUCCACAAUGGGCGAAAGCCUGAUGGAGCAACGCCGCGUGAGUGAUGAAGGCCUUCGGGUUGUAAAACUCUGUCAUUCGGGACGAACCGGAGUCUGAGGAAAUGCAGACUCUCUGACGGUACCGGAGGAGGAAGCCCCGGCUAACUACGUGCCAGCAGCCGCGGUAAUACGUAGGGGGCAAGCGUUGUCCGGAUUCACUGGGCGUAAAGCGCGCGCAGGCGGUGAUGUAAGUCUGAGGUGAAAACCCGAAGCUCAACUUCGGGACUGCCUUGGAUACUGCGUCACUUGAGGAUAGGAGAGGCAAGGGGAAUUCCACGUGUAGCGGUGAAAUGCGUAGAGAUGUGGAGGAACACCUGUGGCGAAGGCGCCUUGCUGGCCUAUUUCUGACGCUGAGGCGCGAAAGCGUGGGGAGCAAACAGGAUUAGAUACCCUGGUAGUCCACGCUGUAAACGAUGAGUGCUAGGUGUAGGUGGGCUCAUACCCAUCUGUGCCGAAGCUAACGCAUUAAGCACUCCGCCUGGGGAGUACGGCCGCAGACUGAAACUCAAAUGAAUUGACGG